UAUCCAAGGAUGAAAGUGGGGGAUCUUCGGACCUCAUGCUCCUGGAGCGGCCGAUAUCUGAUUAGCUAGUUGGUGAGGUAAAGGCUCACCAAGGCGACGAUCAGUAGCUGGUCUGAGAGGACGACCAGCCACACUGGAACUGAGACACGGUCCAGACUCCUACGGGAGGCAGCAGUGGGGAAUUUUGGACAAUGGGCGCAAGCCUGAUCCAGCAAUGCCGCGUGAGUGAAGAAGGCCUUCGGGUUGUAAAGCUCUUUUGUCAGGGAAGAAACGGCUGCAGCUAAUAUCUGCGGCUAAUGACGGUACCUGAAGAAUAAGCACCGGCUAACUACGUGCCAGCAGCCGCGGUAAUACGUAGGGUGCAAGCGUUAAUCGGAAUUACUGGGCGUAAAGCGUGCGCAGGCGGUUUUGUAAGUCUGUCGUGAAAUCCCCGGGCUCAACCUGGGAAUUGCGAUGGAGACUGCAAGGCUAGAAUCUGGCAGAGGGGGGUAGAAUUCCACGUGUAGCAGUGAAAUGCGUAGAGAUGUGGAGGAACACCGAUGGCGAAGGCAGCCCCCUGGGUCAAGGAUUGACGCUCAUGCACGAAAGCGUGGGGGAGCAAACAGGGAUUAGAUACCCUGGGUAGUCCAC
rnacentral:rRNA from 1 species